rnacentral:rRNA from 1 species
AUGUCGUUUGUGCCUACAAUGAAUGCAGUUGAGGCCCCUUUCAUGAAUUUUUCCUCUGACCAGGGGAGCAACUCCUUCAGUUGCUCAGACUUCAGCUGGAAGAAUGAUAUCAAGACCCCUGGCAUAACAUCUGUGCUUGCAUCCAUUCCCACCUCAACAGAGGUCAAUGAAUCUGCAUUUCUCCAGAACAAUGGCAUUAAUUCAACAGUACCUCCUGUGAUGGGUGAUGCUAUUGUUGAUCUUGCCGACUUGGAGCCAUACAUGAAGUUCCUGAUGGACGAUGGUUCAGAACAGUCAAUUGACAGCAUUCUAAGCUGUGAUGUACCCCAGGACGUGGUCGGCAACAUGGACCUUUGGUCCUUCGAUGACAUGCCCUUGUCUGCUGGUUUUUACUGA